CAGUAUAGGCAAGUGGGUUACAGUUACAGUAGCUUGUCUUGGCAUCUAAUGUCAGUAUAGUUGAGUGUUACAAUAGCUUUUCUUGGCAACCAAUGUCAGUGUAG